rnacentral:miRNA from 1 species
UCCAUUCGCGGACAUGAUGGAU